CUAAGUUAAAGGACAUAUUAGCAAGGCCAUCUUCACCAAAAAAAUUCUUCCGCCCAUUCAAGAUCCAUCCUUUGACGAAAUUGUUGAACCAACCUAUGCCCCAUGACAUUUCCACCACCUACAUUUUGGAUGUGGAGAUGACAACUGAUGAAUCCACGCACACCUCUAUCUUAGCGAACCCUUAAUCUCCGGCCAGCUUUAAACCUUCAAGCACGCCCCAUAACAUAACUCUGCAACAAUGACAUUGCACCUCCCAAUAUAUUUUGAGAACUCUCCUAACCAUUCCCUGUCCACACAUCUAAUAGUCAGAGUUUUUCUAGAAUCAAACAACAGGGAUUUGUUUUAGCUAACCAUUCAUUGUUAAAAUGAUCAACAAAAAAGUAGAACUAUUGGAUUUUCAAAGAGACCAUUCUAUUUGUACGGCUAUGAUAAGAACUCAUUUAUGUGUCCAUCAAAACCAGCAACAAAUAAAAGUGUUAUUGAUGAAGAUUGUUUUGUUAUCAUGAAGUUGGUAAUUAAGAAAAUAGAUAUGUUGUUGUGACUACAAAAUAGCAAAUCAGCAUAGCAUCAUUCAUCAAUUUGGUGAAAAGAGAAAUAUUACCAAUCACUAACCGAAAGUAAUUCUUUAAAAUUGGAGAAUUUUUCAUGUUGGAGUCAUUAGC
rnacentral:lncRNA from 1 species